GUCUAUGGCUGUACCACCCUAAAUGCACUGAAUCUUGUCUGAUCUUGGAAGGUAAGCAGGGUUGGGCCUGGUUAAUACUUGGAUGGGAGAUUGCCUAGGAAUACUGGGUGAUGGAGGCU
ensembl:rRNA 5S_rRNA 5S ribosomal RNA